GACGUAGGGCGCGAGCGUUGUCCGGAUUUAUUGGGCGUAAAGAGCUCGUAGGCGGUUUGUCGCGUCUGCUGUGAAAUCCCGAGGCUCAACCUCGGGCUUGCAGUGGGUACGGGCAGACUAGAGUGCGGUAGGGGAGACUGGAAUUCCUGGUGUAGCGGUGGAAUGCGCAGAUAUCAGGAGGAACACCGAUGGCGAAGGCAGGUCUCUGGGCCGCAACUGACGCUGAGGAGCGAAAGCAUGGGGAGCGAACAGG
rnacentral:rRNA from 1 species